GGGAUUUACUCAGCAACAUGCAAGUAACAUGACUCUGGCUCUCAAUGUGUUCCUACAAGAUAAAGGAUGGUGAAGGUGACAUGGGCCGGGGACAAACUCAGUGCUUGCCAGUGUCUGGUGCAUAAGUGUUGGAUAAAUGGAUUGCCUGGGAGUCAGCUGGAGGUUGAUUUUUGCCAAUUCCCUUCCUUUCCUUCUUCUUUCCUAUGAAGGGGGAAGAGGCUGGCAUGCUAGU
rnacentral:lncRNA from 1 species